UUGUCUUCGACUUCGUCGAGUUCUGGAAAUGAGGGCAGCGCAGGGGCGCGGUUGAGGGGAGCAGUCCGGUUUGUGGCGGAGAGGCGAGUCGGCGGCGGAUUUUGUCGCGAAGAGGACACGGCCCUCCUUCCGGUGGUGGAAUCCUUCUCCGGCGCGCAGGGGCUGGGCGGCGGCGCGCGGGGCCCCUUCUGGCGGGCAGCGGCGCUCGGGGGCUGGGCGGCGGCGUGUGGGUGCCGGAGGCGCACGCGCUGAUGUACGUCGGCGAGGAGGACGGGCCCGUAGAGGCGGGGCGGGUCAGUUUGCACCUGUGCUCGUCGGUGUCAGAGUUUCCUUCACUCCCUUCCGGAGAAUUCAGGAAGUGCAAGACUCUUCGGCAUCUGCUUUGUGCUUUUGCGCAACCAGUCCAUGUGCAGCCUAAACAAUGUGCGGGGAAAGAAAAUUUGAUGCAGUUUGCUAACAAGUCAUUGCUUGAACAGUCAUCUAUGCUGGUGGCCAGAGCUUGUCUGCCAACGAAAAUAGUUGGCCUGGUUAUUUUCUGUCUUAUUACUAAUAUUAGUUAACUUUCUUACUUCCAUCACAACUAAUACCUUUCAUUACAAAUUUCUACAUUUCGUUCCCUUUUUUUUUUGUUUUGCUAGACUAUUCAGUCAACACCAAACUCACCUGUAGUUGUGAACUGUUGGCGAAGGUAUUUUAAGUCGAAAUGCAAUACUCUUUCGGAUCAAUCUGAAAUGGUUUACAAUCAUCAACUAAAUUCUUUUAGUUCUGCUUUUGGGAGUGGUAGUUCAUCUGGCACAAACCCAGUGUAUACUCCAAAGAGGCAUAUCCAGCCCAGUUUCAAAAAGUUGUGUCCAUACGAAAAUAACUAGAUGAAAAGUCUUGUGCAAUUCUUUGAGGAUAAGUACUACUCCGUACAAUACAAUUGUUUGGUUAUCUCAAGAUAAGUCUAUCAAGUACUUCCUUUCUGUAUUUUUCGUUUUUGCUACUUCCUUUUGUCCAUAUAAUCUUUUGAUAUCAUGUUUUUCUAUCUAAACUUAUUUAAAUAAUCAUGAAUUUUUUUCAGCCAAAGAGUUAUUGAUUAUGAUGGUGUAAGAAUUAUUGUUUUGUCACUCAGGAUUCUUUUAAGCGCAAAGGAAGAGUAGACUUCUUUGUUUCAAUCGAUUUUGUUGGAAGCUUAGUUUGGAUACUCCUCCAUUCAGGUCGAAGAAAACUUUCCUUUUCAGCACAGUUCAUGUACAGUAGUGCAGGUAGCUGCUCGUCGUUUCGUUGGAUUUGGGGAUUUAUGUGGCUGCGUUCGGCUAGCCACUGCAAGGUACUGUGUUCGUGGAUUCCGUCCUGUUUGUUUUGCGGGUGAGUUCGAUCUGUUCUCGUGGUGGUUCUGGCUGCGGCUGUCGGUGGUGGCCGCCUGGUUCGUCAAUCUGGAUGGUGUUCCGGCUGUGGAUCGGUGUGGCGUUGUCGUGGUUUGGGUAGCGAUUGGUUCGCAGGUGAGCUAGCAUCGCAGGUAUGUGUUUGUUUUCUUCUGUGAUUUUUGUUGGCUGUAGGCGAUUUGGUGUGGCUUCUAUAAUUCGUUUGGUGUGCAGAUCGUCACACCGUCCCGACGGAAUUUUGCGCCUUGCUGCUUCAUUGCUAAUUAUGCUUACCUUCUGCAGGUUUGAUUCGAUUAUGUUGUUGUUAUUGCCUAUUUGCGAGUCUCGGAUUUGGUGGUAGUUCUACAUUACCUUGAAAAAGCUUUUGCAUAUGCUAUUGAUGUGGACCACAUGUAUUGUUUUUCAAGAAAAUAGACUAGAAAAAUGCUUCUCAAUCCUUUUCUGGAACACUUAAGACUUAAGAGGAUUUCUAGGUUGGGAUUAAUAAUAAAAUAACUGAAUAUUGAGGCCCUGUUUGGUUGGGCUUAAAACUGCUUUCUGACUUUUGGCUUAUAAGCCACAAAAGCACCAAAUUAGGUGCUUUCGGCUUUGGCUUUUGACAUUUGACUUGAUAUUGUUAGAUGAUGGUAUAAGCAAAAAGCCAAAGUCAAAAGCAACUAUUUAGGUGCUUUUGUGGCUUAUAAGCCAAAAGUCAAAAAGCAGUUUUAAGCCCAACCAAACAGGGCCUCAGAUGAUGUUCUAUUGCUUGCAGCAAGCUCAUUGUUUCUUUUCUGAUUAUAGUUUAUCGUUCUGUUCACAUAAUUAUAAUGUCGAUGUGUUCUGGUUCUCUUAAACUGAGUACUAAGCAAACUUCACUAUGGUUUAAUUGGACCAUAUAUUCUUUGAUCUUUUUGGUGAGAAGGUCUCAACAUACUAUGUUUAGACAAACCAUCGUGUAUCAACAAAUAUACAAAGAUGACUAUGGACAUGCAAAUGAUAUUCACAUUUGGCCCCUGAAUGAGGAGAGAGCUAUGGAAGCUGCUGCAGAUCUUGUGUAGGCUUUGUCUAAUUAUUUUCUGUCAUUAAACUUGGAGUUCAACCUCUUCUUCUUUUUUCUGCAUUUAAGUUCAUGGACCAGGAAUUAUUGUACCAAUUUUCGAAGAAGAAACAUUCUUUCAGAGAUGCUCCCAGAUCUGCUUCUGUAGCUGUGAGAAUGUUGUCUUGCACCUGAAUCAAUUGUUUCUGCCUUGGACAACAACAUUGGCUGAUACGGUGAUUGAUGUCAACAGGUUUGUAUACCGUCUAUAAUUGGAAUCAGUGCAAAAUCUUGGCAAUGAUUGUAUGCAUGGGAAGUUUACACAUGGAUGAUCAGUUAAACUACUGUAUUUGAUUGUAAAAAUCUUCCCAACGGUUGUAUGCAUGGGAAUUUUUCUUUGUGUGUUCCUUGAGACAGAACCUGAAGGGCUUUGUGAAACUGAACACCUGAAGUAUCUAAGACCCCAUCUAUGAAAUGAUAUGCUGCUGCAGUGUAAAUUUUGCUA